rfam:Mesotoga prima MesG1.Ag.4.2, complete genome.
UUACCCAACGGAGGAGCACCCGAGAUGAGUAGACGUCCAUCAGGGAAUCGGGACGGAUCGAAAGGCGAGGGUGCCGAAGAAGGCGGAAGCCCCAGCGACCGACUUCUGGGCAUACGGGAAAUACCUGUAUGACUGUCACGAAGAAUGCGUGGAGAGCCGGUGGGUUG